UACGGGAGGCAGCAGUGGGGAAUAUUGCACAAUGGGCGCAAGCCUGAUGCAGCCAUGCCGCGUGUAUGAAAAAGGCCUUCGGGUUGUAAAGUACUUUCAGUCGUGAGGAAGGUGUUAAGGUUAAUAACCUUAGCAAUUGACGUUAGCGACAGAAGAAGCACCGGCUAACUCCGUGCCAGCAGCCGCGGUAAUACGGAGGGUGCGAGCGUUAAUCGGAAUUACUGGGCUAAAGGGCACGCAGGCGGUUAAUUAAGUUGGAUGUGAAAUCCCCGGGCUUAACCUGGGAAUGGCAUUCAAGACUGGUUAGCUAGAGUCUUGUAGAGGGGGUAGAAUUCCAUGUGUAGCGGUGAAAUGCGUAGAGAUGUGGAGGAAUACCGGUGGCGAAGGCGGCCCCUGGACAAAGACUGACGCUCAUGUGCGAAAGCGUGGGGAGCAAACAGGGAUUAGAUAC
rnacentral:rRNA from 1 species